rnacentral:rRNA from 1 species
UACAGAGGUCCCAAGCGUUGUUCGGAUUUACUGGGCGUAAAGCGUGCGUAGACGGUUACAUAAGUCGGGUGUGAAAGCCCCGGGCUCAACCUGGGAAUUGCAUUCGAGACUGCGUAGCUAGGGUGCGGAAGAGGGAAGCGGAAUUUCCGGUGUAGCGGUGAAAUGCGUAGAUAUCGGAAGGAACACCAGUGGCGAAAGCGGCUUCCUGGUCCAGCACCGACGUUCAGGCACGAAAGCGUGGGAGCAAACAGG